GAUGAACGCUGGCGGCGUGCCUAAUACAUGCAAGUCGAGCGAACAGACGAGGCGUUUGCUCCCCCGACGUUAGCGGCGGACGGGUGAGUAACAUGUGGAUAACCUACCUAUAAGACUGGGAUAACUUUGGGAAACCGGAGCUAACACCGGAUAAUAUAUUGAAACGCAUGGAUCAAUAGUGAAAGACGGCUUUGCUGUCACUUAUAGAUGGAUCCGCGCCGCAUUAGCUAGUUGGUAAGGUAACGGCUUAUCAAGGCAACGAUGCGUAGCCGACCUGAGAGGGUGAUCGGCCACACUGGAACUGAGACACGGUCCAGACUCCUACGGGAGGCAGCAGUAGAGAAUCUUCCGCGAUGGGCGAAAGCCUGACAGAGCAACGCCGCGUGAAUGAUGAAGGUCUUCGGAUCGUAAAGCUCUGUUAGUAGGGAAGAACAAAUGUGUAAGUAACUAUGCACGUCUUGACGGUACCUAAUCAGAAAGCCACGGCUAACUACGUG
rnacentral:rRNA from 1 species